rnacentral:snRNA from 1 species
UCUUUUUUGAAGUCUCAAAUAGA